rnacentral:rRNA from 1 species
UACGGGGGGGGCAAGCGUUGUUCGGAAUUACUGGGCGUAAAGGGCUCGUAGGUGGCCAACUAAGUCAGACGUGAAAUCCCUCAGCUUAACCGGGGAACUGCGUCUGAUACUGGAUGGCUAGAGUUUGGGAGAGGGAUGCGGAAUUCCAGGUGUAGCGGUGAAAUGCGUAGAUAUCUGGAGGAACACCGGUGGCGAAGGCGGCAUCCUGGACCAACACUGACGCUGAGGAGCGAAAGCCAGGGGAGCAAACGGG